CACCAUAGCUCAGGGGCAGAACAUCUGCUUGGAGUGCAGAAAGUUCUAGGUUCGGUCCCUGGAAUCUCUUGGUAAGG